rnacentral:lncRNA from 1 species
UUUAUAUUAAUCGAUUGUAUUUUGUUGCUUGUGUAGCGUAUUAUUUACUCGCAUUUUCUAUAUUAAUUAUAUUUUUACAGAUAUGAUUCGUAAUGAUGAAAGAAAUUCAAAUCGAUGAUAAUUAGUAAGAAAGAAACGUUUUUGAAAGAAAACGUUAUAUUCGUUGUGAUAGCGUUUAAAAUAAAUUAUAUCGAUCAAUUAAAAAUAAGGGGGCCCCAUCGACAUUUUUGCGGGGGGCCUCUCAGUUUUCAGGUACGCCACUGGUUUUCACAUACUUUUUAUGGCUUUUUUUUAUAUAAUAACCACAAUAUUCAAAAGAUUUCUCUGAUUUAUA